AUUUUUCCGCUGGGGGGUCUUGGGACCCCGACCUUCGGGGGCUGAUUUUUGGGCGCGGCUGUGCCCGUGGCCUAUUUUUGGUACACAGAGGCCGCCCGCCAAGUAUGGUGCCAUUCCGAGUCCCGCGGACGAACUUCGCCCACGCCCCCCACCAAGGCUAUAGCCCACCCGUUUUUUGGCCAUUUUUCCACUGGGGGGUCUUGGGACCCCGACCUUCGGGGGCUGAUUUUUGGGCGCGGCUGUGCCCGUGGCCUAUUUUUGGCACACAGAGGCCGCCCGCCAAGUAUGGU
rnacentral:lncRNA from 1 species